UACGGGGGGGCAAGCGUUGUUCGGAUUUACUGGGCGUAAAGGGCGCGUAGGCGGCCACCGCAAGUCGACUGUGAAAUCUCCGGGCUUAACCCGGAAAGGUCAGCCGAUACUGCGGGGCUAGAGUGCAGAAGGGGCAACUGGAAUUCUCGGUGUAGCGGUGAAAUGCGUAGAUAUCGAGAGGAACACCUGCGGCGAAGGCGGGUUGCUGGGCUGACACUGACGCUGAGGCGCGAAAGCUAGGGGAGCGAACGGG
rnacentral:rRNA from 1 species